GCCAUUCUACUUCCCAGCUGGCUGGCUUCAGGACAGGAAUUCUUGGCUCUUUCUGAGAUAUGGUGGAUGAUAGCAGUCCCUUGGGAUCCCCAUAUCUGUGUAAAUGUACCUCAGAGAAGAAGUGAUGGCAAUACCAAGGAUUGGCUUUCAGGACAUUCAUUGUAGAAUAAGGAGGUCUGGACUUGGACAAGUAGAAGAAUGCUUCAAGCUUCAGACAAAUUUAAGCAUUCUCACUUGGAAGCACCUUAAAUCCUUGGUG
rnacentral:lncRNA from 1 species